rnacentral:rRNA from 1 species
GACGAACGCUGGCGGCGUGCCUAAUACAUGCAAGUCGAACGCAGUGGGGACGGGUGAGUAACACGUGGGUAACCUCCCAUCAGAGGGGAUAACACUUGGAAACAGGUGCUAAACCGAUACUGAUGGAUGGACCCGCGGUGCAUUAGCUAGUUGGUGAGGUAACGGCUCACCAAGGCCACGAUGCAUAGCGGACCUGCGGGGGUGAUCGGCCAACCUGGAACUGAGCAACGGCCCGGACUCCUACGGGAGGCAGCGUUAGGGAAUCUUCGGCAAGGGACGAAAGUCUGACCGAACAAGGCCGCGGAGUGGAGGAAGGUUUUCGGAUCGUAAAACUCUGUUGUUAGGGAAGCGGUAUCUAACCAGAAGGCCACGGCUAACUACGUGCCAGCCGCGGCGGUAAUAC